rnacentral:rRNA from 1 species
UACAGAGGUCUCAAGCGUUGUUCGGAUUCAUUGGGCGUAAAGGGUGCGUAGGCGGCGCGGUAAGUCGGGUGUGAAAUCUCGGAGCUUAACUCCGAAACUGCAUUCGAUACUGCCGUGCUUGAGGACUGGAGAGGAGACUGGAAUUUACGGUGUAGCGGUGAAAAUGCGUAGAUAUCGUAAGGAAGACCAGUGGCGAAGGCGGGUCUCUGGACAGUUCCUGACGCUGAGGCACGAAGGUCAGGGGAGCAAACGGG